rnacentral:rRNA from 1 species
AGUGAACGCUGGCGGUAGGCCUAACACAUGCAAGUCGAACGGCAGCACAGUAAGAGCUUGCUCUUACGGGUGGCGAGUGGCGGACGGGUGAGGAAUACAUCGGAAUCUACUUUUUCGUGGGGGAUAACGUAGGGAAACUUACGCUAAUACCGCAUACGACCUACGGGUGAAAGCAGGGGAUCUUCGGACCUUGCGCGAUUGAAUGAGCCGAUGUCGGAUUAGCUAGUUGGCGGGGUAAAGGCCCACCAAGGCGACGAUCCGUAGCUGGUCUGAGCGGAUGAUCAGCCACACUGGAACUGAGACACGGUCCAGACUCCUACGGGAGGCAGCAGUGGGGAAUAUUGGACAAUGGGCGGAAGCCUGAUCCAGCCAUACCGCGUGGGUGAAGAAGGCCUUCGGGUUGUAAAGCCCUUUUGUUGGGAAAGAAAAGCAGCAGGUUAAUACCCCGCUGUUCUGACGGUACCCAAAGAAUAAGCACCGGCUAACUUCGUG